CUAAAUGUUACUUCCUACAAUACAUUGCUUCUACAUUAGUUUACUUUUUUUAUUAUUUUACUAAUAUCUUACUCAAAAGCCAUGGACAGAGGUUUGCAUACUGGACUAAUGAGGCCAGAGCAUUGCUCCAAGGUUCACUGCAGCCGAUAUACAGGGUCCCAAAGGUCAGCAAGAGGGAACAUGAGUUACCAACAUGUGUGCUUUCUGUAAUCCUAAAUGAAGUGGUACUACAGGAAGGAGAUAAGGCAUACUUAAGAUUGGCUCUUGUGUGUCCACUGACUCCUUCAGGAGACGGGCACAUUUUCAGUGGCUUGACAGUGUCGCUACAUGGAGCAGGUUUUCUGAGUCCUAAAGAAAAUAAUUCUACACCAUGUACUCCGUGGACACCUGUCGUGAAUGUGGAAUGCUUUUCAAAAACUGCACACCUGGAUAUGUUAGAACAGGACAAAGGUGUGUACUUGAAGCAGUUUACUCAGAAGACCCACAUCCAGGUUACUGCGAUCACUUUUGCCGCCAAAUGCAAUAGUGAGAACGGACACGUAUACUAACUGUUGGCAGACAACCCUGAGCCAGCUGGGUGUUUUUCAAGCUGCAGGCCCCCGUGAAAAUUUGUGGCUGGAAACUUGGGAUUGAAUUUUGAAUUCUCCAGUGUUAUUACAGACUGUUAAUUAAUUGGUUAUG
ensembl:lncRNA